rnacentral:tRNA from 1 species
ACCUUUUUAGCUUAAAUAAAAGUGUUAGUUUGAAGAACUAAAGAUACUUAAUGUA